rnacentral:lncRNA from 1 species
UUGCAUAAUUCACAAUUUAGAUAUUUCACAAAUACUGAUUUUAAAUAAAAAAAUGUUGCAUUAAAUGUUUUCAAAUCAUUCGUAUUUUUAAGCAUAUUGGAUAAUUUGGAAUCAUAAAUGUAUUGUUUACUCUCUUAGCUGGUAUUAUUAUUUAAAAAUGUUUAGUUUAUUCCUUUACUUAUUUCACUUAUAUAAUUAUCAUUACAAACAUUAAAUUGCAUUUAUAAGCUCGGUUGAAUUAAAAACAUUAAUAUUUGAUUAUGUAUUAUAUAUUCCAUAAUAUUAAACCCAUCCUUAAGCUUAAUUUAGUUCUUGUUAUCAUAUUUAACUCUUCAAAAUAACUGUUAAUAAAUAUUUAUUUAAAGUUUAGAAUAUUUUCAUCUAUGGAAACGAAACCCUUGACACCUUAAUCAGAUCAAAUUUUAUAAUUCCUGCAGUAAAAACAAUUUUUUCUAAAUUAAAAAAAUGUUAAACUUGAUAGAAAACGCCAAUUUAUCAAUGUAAAGCAGGGUUAAUAAGUUCCAAAUAUUUCUGAUAAUCUCCUUACACGAUGCGAAUAUUAAGGAGAACGUAUAUUUUUAUGAGAUUAAAAUUUCCAUUUUAAUUGGCCAUUCAUAUUCAUGCAACAGAUUACUUCAUGUAGCAAAAAAAAUUAAUAAACACAGCUUUCAAGAACUUCUCUGAUGGAACCUUUUUAUUACAAUGCUAAGCUAAUUUGAAAAUCCCGUUUGACAAUGUGAGUGUCCUGUGACUAUAAUGUUUAUAGCUGGCUUAGUUAGCUAAUCUUACAAGAUCCAUUUCGCGCAUCCGCUUAAGUAAUGGAGAAGAAGGAUAAGGAUGGGCUGCCAGAAGCUGGGGCUGUUAGGAAAUUGGCCAGGUUUCUCGAGGAAUUGAUUCCAUCCAUCCUUCAGCUCCAGGACUCAUUCUCCUUUAUCCAUCUCCGGAGUAAUCCAACCCGGACUCAUUCAUUCUUUUCCGGAGAGAAGGAGUAAUCCAACCAGGACUCAUUCAUCCUUCUCCG